AGGAUGAAUUGGCAAAUUGUCUCCACAUGCUUCGAGGUAUCAUUUCACUUCCCUUAUGAUGCGGUAGACGAAGCGGAAGCAUAAGAUGAUGAAGAUGAGUACUCGAGAGCAAGGCUAGGUAAGCAAUCAGGAAGGGGUUCCAGGCAGUUGGUUCUAGAUCGGAAGAUUGAUACCAAGUGCUGGCUGAUUACUCACUUUCUCCUU
rnacentral:lncRNA from 1 species